AUAUUAUAAUCUUUAUACAUAAGACACCUCGUUAAUUUAGUUUAGUGGUAUUUAUUAAAUUAUACGAAUGACCUUAUUUUUUUUAGUAUUUCAAUGUAAAAUUACAUAUAAAAACAAAGUAUUUUGGCGAGACUCUUGAGGGAACAGGACAAGCUGAAGACUACAGGCUGAAGCUGUCCCCUAAGAAAGCGAGCCAACAAUACGAAGUAUUGUUGUAAAUAAAGAAGCCAG
rfam:Staphylococcus epidermidis RP62A, complete genome.